GUGGCCAGUAAUAAACUGGUCCUGAACAUCUCUAAAACUAAGAGCAUUGUAUUUGGUACAAGUCAUUCCUUAAGUUCUAGACCUCAGCUGAAUCUGGUAAUGAAUGGUGUGGCUGUUGAACAUGUUGAGGAGACUAAAUUACUUGGCAUUACCUUAGAUUGUAAACUGUCAUGGUCAAAACAUAUAGAUUCAAUGGUUGUAAAGAUGAGGAGAGUUCUGUCUGUAAUAAGGAGAUGCACUGCUUUUUUGACACCACACUCCAAAAAGCAAGUUCUGCAGGUUCUAAUUUUGUCGUGUGGUCCAGUGAUGCAAGGAAAGAGCUAGUUAAGCUGCAGCUGCAACAGUACAGAGCGGCACGUUUUGCUAUUCACUGUAAUCAGAGGGCUGUUAUAAAUACUUUGCAUGCCAGUCUCUCUUGGAUAAGAGUUGAGGAGAGACUGCCUGCAUCACUUCUUCUUUUUCUUUUUUUUUCUUUUUGUUUUCAUUGUUGAAUUUGACCCCUUUUUCUCCCCAAUUUCGUGGUAUCCAAUUGUUUUUAGUAGCUACUAUCUUGUCUUAUCGCCACAACACCCGUACGGGCUCGGGAGAGACGAAGGUUGAAAGUCAUGCGUCCUCCGAUACACAACCCAACCAAGCUGCACUGCUUCUUAACACAGCGCCAUCCAACCCGGAAGCCAGCCGCACCAAUGUGUCGGAGGAAACACUGUGCACCUGGCAACCUUGGUUAGUUUGCCAGGUAACACUGCGCCCGGCCCGCCACACGAGUCGCUGGUGCGUGAUGAGACAAGGAUUUCCCUACCGGCCAAACCCUCCCUAACCCGGACGACGCUAGGCCAAUUGUGCGUCGCCCCACGGACCUCCCGGUCGCGGCCGGUUACGACAGAGCCUGGGCGCGAACCCAGAGUCUCUGGUGGCACAGCUGGCGCUGCAGUACAGCGCCCUUAGCCAUUAAUGUGUUGAAAAUCCCCAAAUGUUUACAUGGUCAACUUACACACAGCUCUGAUACACACACACUUAUCUCACCAGACGUACCACCAGG
ensembl:lncRNA